rnacentral:rRNA from 1 species
UACGUAGGGUGCGAGCGUUGUCCGGAAUUAUUGGGCGUAAAGAGCUCGUAGGCGGUGUGUCACGUCGGCCGUGAAAACCUGCAGCUUAACUGUGGGCGUGCGGUCGAUACGGGCAUCACUGGAGUUCGGCAGGGGGAGACUGGAAUUCCUGGUGUAGCGGUGGAAUGCGCAGAUAUCAGGAGGAACACCGAUGGCGAAGGCAGGUCUCUGGGCCAUUACUGACACUGAGAAGCGAAAAGCAUGGGGGAGCGAACAGG